rnacentral:rRNA from 1 species
CACGUAGGGGGCGAGCGUUGUCCGGAUUUAUUGGGCGUAAAGAGCUCGUAGGUGGUUCGGUAAGUCGGGUGUGAAACCUCCAGGCUCAACCUGGAGACGCCACCCGAUACUGCUGUGACUAGAGUCCAGUAGGGGAGCGUGGAAUUCCUGGUGUAGCGGUGAAAUGCGCAGAUAUCAGGAGGAACAUCUGUGGCGAAGGCGGCCAUCUGGACCAGCACUGACACUGAGGCACGAAAGCGUGGGGAGCAAACAGG